rnacentral:rRNA from 1 species
CCUACGUGGGGCUGCAGUGGGGAAUAUUGGACAAUGGGGGCAACCCUGAUCCAGCCAUGCCGCGUGUGUGAAGAAGGCCCUCGGGUUGUAAAGCACUUUCAGUGAGGAAGAACGCCUGGUGGUUAAUACCCAUCAGGAAAGACAUCACUCACAGAAGAAGCACCGGCUAACUCCGUGCCAGCAGCCGCGGUAAUACGGAGGGUGCGAGCGUUAAUCGGAAUUACUGGGCGUAAAGCGCGCGUAGGUGGCUUGAUAAGCCGGUUGUGAAAGCCCCGGGCUCAACCUGGGAACGGCAUCCGGAACUGUCAAGCUAGAGUGCAGGAGAGGAAGGUAGAAUUCCCGGUGUAGCGGUGAAAUGCGUAGAGAUCGGGAGGAAUACCAGUGGCGAAGGCGGCCUUCUGGACUGACACUGACACUGAGGUGCGAAAGCGUGGGUAGCAAACAGGAUUAGAUACCCCAGUAGUC